AAGUGUAUGGAAGAAUUAUUGUCAGCCAAGAUUGGCAUAUGCUACUGUAGACAAUUUUUUUGAAGAUUGUCUUUUAAAGACUGUUUCUAAAUAGCCCUUCUAAAUAGGCGUCCAGAAAUAAUCACCCAAAAAUGCGCAACAAUGACGCACACGAAAGGGGACACGUUCCGUUCAAGGAUUCUUGAAUUAGAGGAAGAAGUAUACUCACCAGUGUCCGUCACAGGUGUCUGGCACCCGCUGUGCGGCGAGCUGACGUUCCCCACGGGGCUGGUGUUGCCAGUUUGCUCAGGGAUCCCCUGCAUAGAGACGUUCGCGUUGGCGCCGGCAUUGUUGACCCCAGGGAGAUGGUGCUGCUGGUGGUCCUUGACCGAGAAAGCCUCCGUGGGCCUGUAGGUCAGCUGAUCCUGGUUCCUGGCGGGGUAGCCCGGCUCGCUCUUGAACGCCACGAUCUCACCGUUUCUGUACACGGACGGCUCGCCUGUUUUAUAUGUGACCUCCGUGGUCUUGUACGUCACCUCUGCUAUAGGAGGCGUUUUAUACGUCGCCUCAGGGUGCCAAGUUCUCGUACCCGGCCGCCUGGACGCUCAUGGGACCGCUCCCGGAGAAGUAUUGAGGGUACUGAGGCUUCAGAGCCUGACACUUGCGACGGAAGCCCCGCGGCCGUCGACGGAAGCUGCCUU